GUGAACGCUGGCGGCAGGCCUAACACAUGCCAGUCGAGCGGCAGCGGGUCCUUCGGGAUGCCGGCGAGCGGCGGACGGGUGAGGAAUGCGUCGGAAUCUGCCUUUUUGUGGGGGAUAACGUAGGGAAACUUACGCUAAUACCGCAUACGACCUACGGGUGAAAGUGGGGGACCGCAAGGCCUCACGCAGAAAGAUGAGCCGACGUCGGAUUAGCUAGUUGGCGGGGUAAAGGCCCACCAAGGCGACGAUCCGUAGCUGGUCUGAGAGGAUGAUCAGCCACACUGGAACUGAGACACGGUCCAGACUCCUACGGGAGGCAGCAGUGGGGAAUAUUGGACAAUGGGCGCAAGCCUGAUCCAGCCAUGCCGCGUGUGUGAAGAAGGCCUUCGGGUUGUAAAGCACUUUUGUCCGGAAAGAAAUCCUGUCGGCUAAUACCCGGCGGGGAUGACGGUACCGGAAGAAUAAGCACCGGCUAACUUCGUG
rnacentral:rRNA from 1 species